rnacentral:rRNA from 1 species
UACGUAGGGGGCAAGCGUUGUCCGGAAUCAUUGGGCGUAAAGCGCGUGUAGGCGGUCCGGUAAGUCCGCUGUAAAAGUCGGGGGCUCAACCCUCGGAUGCCGGUGGAUACUGUCGGGCUUGAGUACGGAAGAGGCGAGUGGAAUUCCUGGUGUAGCGGUGAAAUGCGCAGAUAUCAGGAGGAACACCGGUGGCGAAGGCGCACAUCUGGCCCGAUACUGACGCUGAGGCGCGAAAGCUAGGGGAGCAAACGGG